rnacentral:rRNA from 1 species
AGUGAACGCUGGCGGUAGGCCUAACACAUGCAAGUCGAACGGCAGCACAUUAAGAGCUUGCCCGUACGGGUGGCGAGUGGCGGACGGGUGAGGAAUACAUCGGAAUCUACUCUUUCGUGGGGGACAACGAAGGGAAACUUACGCUAAUACCGCAUACGACCUACGGGUGAAAGCAGGGGAUCUUCGGACCUUGCGCGAUUGAAUGAGCCGAUGUCGGAUUAGCUAGUUGGCGGGGUAACGGCCCACCAAGGCGACGAUCCGUAGCUGGUCUGAGAGGAUGAUCAGCGACACUGGAACUGAGACACGGUCCAGACUCCUACGGGAGGCAGCAGUGGGGAAUAUUGGACAAUGGGCGCAAGCCUGAUCCAGCCAUACCGCGUGGGUGAAGAAGGCCUUCGGGUUGUAAAGCCCUUUUGUUGGGAAAGAAAAGCAGCAGGUUAAUACCCAGAUGUUCUGACGGUACCCAAAGAAUAAGCACCGGCUAACUUCGUG